GCUGUCCCACGCGCCGGGUCCCGUUGGCGCCGGGGCCUCCUGGGACGGCCUGGCCGCGGCCUGCGGGUGUAGGCGCCUCGGCGGCCACCGCGUCCCCAGGGGGCCUCGCGGACGGGGGCGCGGGGCUGCGGGGAGGAGGCGGGCGGGCCCCUCGGGCGACACCGCGGGGCGGGCGGCGGGAAGCCCGGACUCAGCGGUUUCCUGGGCAACCGGCCUCCUCCGGCGCGGCCCGCGCGGCUCCAGGUGGCGGGAGGCGGCGGUUGGCGGGAAGGGCCGCGCGGGCCCGGGGGCGGCGCCUCAGGUAGCAGCGCCAGGUGGCGCCCGUGGGCGGCGGGGCUCCCGGGGAGGCGCCUGCUCCCGCCCACGCCGGGCCCGGCCUUCGCGAGCUUCCUUCUGGAUUCCAGCGCGAAGCCGCCGCGGAAACUCCCCGGGCGGGCAUCGGAGCUCUGGGGCGGGGCGGCCGGGCUCAGAGGGCGGGCGGGAGCAGGCGGGCGGCGAGGGCGGGCAGCAGCAGCGGGAGCAGGGGCGCCCCGGGCGCCGGGGCCGCUGGGGACGAACGCGGCGGGUCAGGCCCCGAAGCCCGGGCCGCGGUGGCCGCCUCAGGCGCCCGCUCUGGGGUGGGGGUGGGGGCAUCUUUCGGGACCGAACUCGCCGCAGCCUCCCUCUUUGUGCUCCUUUCCCCUGCUGCCCUUCCAGAUGCGCUCUUUCCAGAAAGGCAGCACACGCAUGUCUCUGCCGUGGCCCCAGAUCCUCCCCGCGCCGCCGUUUUGAGCGUUCACACUCAUUACCCAGGUCCGUCUGGGAGACCCGCCGGGCUCCCGCCCUCCCGGCCCGCAGCCUCCUGGCCAAAAUCCUCCCGGGACACCCCACCUGGACUGCUGCGAACGGGCCUCCACCCGCCUCCCCGGACCCGCAGCGCCCCCCGCUCCCUCAGGGUUCUGGGGUGAAGGGGUCUGAAUAGCACCAGGGGAGGCGGCAGGGCGGGCCUGUCCUACCUGCGCCCGAGCACUGCUGAGACGACAUCCCUUCCAGCGCCGCCACGUAGUCCAGCCCCAGCCAGCCGCGGUAGGUGGUUUUCUCUCCGACAGGCACCGCCCGGACGGUGGCAUCCUUGAAAAGCAGGUCUUGGCCAUGAUAGUUGGAGGAGUCGAACAUUUUGAACCCGUUCUUAUUGUGGUCGUCUCCAAACAGGUCCUGGAAGCACCGCAGGCAGACGACCUGCUCCUCACUGGGCUCAGGCAGGGUCACCCGCCCAGUGCCGCUAGCUGCAAAUUGCUUUACAUACAGUGACCCAAAGAGCAAGUCAUUUCAGGGCCCCACCACUCUGAUUGGAAGUCAUAAGCUUGACAACUGAUUGGCCUCUGUCACCCAAGCGGGUGUGGGGACACUAGGCCCGCAGGUGCCACUGGAAGAGGCGUUCAGAAGCACUGCGGUGCUCCAGCUCCUGGAUGCAGAUAUCUCCCCACAAACCUAAACAAUUUCGAGAGGGACUUGUGUUCUGCAACCAGUCACAGAAUAUCAGGUGAGCUGGGCGUGUCUUCACUGACCCACCCGCCCAGGGAUGCUGCACUCCUCUCCACCCUGCUCAGAAUCACUAGAAUGACCGUUCUGUGGCUACAGCCCUAAAAGAGCUACUAAAAAGACCAGAAGUAGUAUGAGAACUUAUGAAUACGAAUAUAAAUAAAGGACAUCUGGAGAACAUGCA
rnacentral:lncRNA from 10 species